UGUGUGUGUGUGUGUGUGUGUGUGUGUGUGUGUGUGUGUUGCCUUGUCUUUCGUUGUACAUAUGCUUAUGCAGUGUGUGUGUGUGUGUGUGUGUGUGUGUGUGUGUGUGUGUGUGUGUGUGUGUGUGUUGAAAAUGUAUGCGCGCGCGCGCGCUUACAUUUUCAACUAUAAUAACUGAAUUUUAUAAUCCCUUUACUUAUAAUCUGAACUGGAAACUUCACAUCUCAUCUCUAGCUAAAACAGCUUCUAUGAAGUUAGGUGUAAUGAGACGUCUCCGCCAGUUUUUCUCACCCCCCCCAGCUGCUAACUCUGUACAAGGGCCUUAUCCGUCCAUGUAUGGAGUAUGCUUCACAUGUCUGGAGGGGGUUCCACUCAUACUGCUCUUCUAGACAGGGUGGAAUCAAAAGCUUUUCGUCUCAUCAACUCCUCUCCUCUAACUGACUGUCUUUAGCCUCUCUCUCUCACCGCUGCAAUGUUGCAUAUCUAGCUGUCUUCUACCGCUAUUUUCAUGCUAACCGCUCUUCUGAUCUUGCUAACUGCAUACCUCCCCUCCUUCCGCGGCCUCGCUGCACAAGGCUUUCUCCUUUCUCUCACCCCUAUUCUGUCCACCUCUCUAACGCAAGAGUUAACCAGUAUUCUCAAUCAUUCAUCCCUUUCUCUGGUAAACUUUGGAACUCUCUACCUGCUUCUGUAUUUCCACCUUCCUAUGACUUGAAUUCCUUCAAGAGGGAGGUUUCAAGACGCUUAUUCAUCAAUUUUUGACCACUGGUUUGACCCUUUUAUGGGACUGGCAUUUCAGUGGGCAUUUUUUUUUUAUUAGAUUUUUGUUGCCCUUGGCCAGUGUCCUUCCUACAUAAAAAAAAAAAAAAAAACUAGUUUUCCCUGCUGCAAAUCUCAUUCUUUACCAUUCUCCGAUCCCAUAGCCCAGACCGAGACCCAGAGAAAUGUAAACAAACUCACGAGCCAGACUUGACCUAGGGAUGAAUUUGUUGUUUUUUAGAAGGGGAGUGGGUCUGUACAUACAUGAGGUGGCGAGAGGCAUGGCCAGGGGGCGGCUAGCAAUGUGUGCCACCAGGGGAAUGUGUACUAACAUAAAAAGUACGCCUGUCAAGAAAGGUGAAGCCGGUGACCCGGCUGUCUGUGCAGCAUCAGUUAGACCAUGGCUACGGUAAGAGAGACGUGUGCUGGUUGUGAAAAUACUAACUGACAGUUUACCGCCAGUUCCCUCAACUUCUUCAUAAGUAAAACCUGUCUCCAUACCAGGCUAGUAAUCCCACACAGGACGGCCCGGUGUUUUGCCAAAUCAUUCCUAUGUCAAAAUUUCUCCCAGGUGAUGCCACUGGGCAUGUGCACCAUAUUGAGGAGAGAUCAAAACAUCAUCCAGAUCAUGGUUCACUAAGGUAUAGAUCAGUGGUUUCACCUUAGUCACAUCAGCCCCUACAUAAAAACAGGAAAAUAUUUAGAAUCGGUGGCAGAGUAUAAGAAAAGUGCCAUAUAGAAAUCUGCUCACAAUAUUGUGGUUGAAGGUAAGUUAUACCUCCUUGCCUUACUGCUGCAAUAUGUACCAUUUUACUUGUAUACUUGCAUCGUGGAUUACUUAAGUCUGAUAGCUUUUACUCUGAUUAAGUAUAGUUCAUGGUUUAUUGUUUUCGAAGCAGGUGUUGGAAUUCUCUAUGGGAACUGGGCCCUUUUUUAUACUUUUUUUUUUGUUGCUCAUUGCCAGUGACCUUGCAUAAAAAAAAAAAAAAUAAUAAUAAUAAUAUACAUGCAGCUGGUAUAUGAAAUGGUAUGACAGGUGGUUUCAUAUAGUUAAGAGUGUCGUAAUAACCUUUACCACAGGGAAGAAAGAUGCUGGAGAGAAAUAGACCCAGCACCUGCGCUCGGCUUAUUCCGGUUUGACUAUACAUCAAUAAUAACAAACUGAAUUUAGAUAAAUGCAUCUGAAGUUCCCUUUCACUCUGCUAGUAAGACAGUGUGAUCAACAAACAAGCUUGCUACCUCUGCUUAGCCCACUCUGUUCUCUUGGCCUUACACUAACAUUUCCAACUUUGCAUUAAUCUCUUUCAUGCCAUCCAUACCAUAAAACUUUGAAUCACCAUGGAAUCAUCACACAUCCCUACCUCUUUCCUCUCCUGCUCUUAUAACAAAACCCUCACUACUGCUACUGCUACUACUACUACUACUACUACUACUACUACUACUACUACUACUACUACUACUACUACUACUACUACUACUACUACUACUACUACUACUACUACUACUACUACUACUACUCAUCCUUGGCAAGGCAGGGGAGAGACCUUAUAAGACCUAUUGUUUGAGUCAUCUCAGUGUUACACCCUUGGCUGUGUAUAUUUGUUUUUCAUGAUCAGUUGCUUUCAUAUUUUGUAUUGUCAUUAUUUUGUAUGAGAAGAGCUUUAAUUUUUUUUUCUGACAGCCAUAUAAGCAGUUUCAAGACUAAUAUCAUGCUGGUGAGCUAACUUUUCUAAUGAUUUUGAUGGACUCUGCAGCAUACUGUCUGAAAUAUCCAACACUUUCUCCUCUGAUAGAAAAAUGUACAGUGAUUUGAUGAACACCAUAUAUAUAUAUAUAUAUAUAUAUAUAUAGAGAGAGAGAGAGAGAGAGAGAGAG